rnacentral:rRNA from 1 species
UACGGAGGGGGCUAGCGUUGUUCGGAAUUACUGGGCGUAAAGCGCGCGUAGGCGGCUAUUCAAGUCAGAGGUGAAAGCCUGGAGCUCAACUCCAGAACUGCCUUUGAAACUGGAUAGCUAGAAUCAUGGAGAGGUCAGUGGAAUUCCGAGUGUAGAGGUGAAAUUCGUAGAUAUUCGGAAGAACACCAGUGGCGAAGGCGACUGACUGGACAUGUAUUGACGCUGAGGUGCGAAAGCGUGGGGAGCAAACAGG